AUUGAACGCUGGCGGCAGGCUUAAUACAUGCAAGUCGAACGGUAACAUAGCGAAAGCUUGCUUUUGCUGAUGACGAGUGGCGGACGGGUGAGUAGUAUCUGGGAAACUGCCCUGAAGAGGGGGACAACAGCUGGAAACGGCUGCUAAUACCGCAUAAGCCCUGAGGGGGAAAGGAAGGCAACUUCCGCUUCAGGAUGUGCCCAGAAGGGAUUAGCUGGUAGGUGAGGUAAAGGCUCACCUAGGCGACGAUCUCUAGCCGGUCUGAGAGGAUGACCGGCCACAUCGGGACUGAGACACGGCCCGGACUCCUACGGGAGGCAGCAGUAGGGAAUAUUGCACAAUGGGGGGAACCCUGAUGCAGCCAUGCCGCGUGUGUGAAGAAGGCCUUCGGGUUGUAAAGCACUUUCAGCGGGGAGGAAAUUAAGUUAGACGUUACCCGCAGAAGAAGCGCCGGCUAACUCCGUG
rnacentral:rRNA from 1 species